rnacentral:rRNA from 1 species
UACGUAGGGGGCAAGCGUUGUCCGGAAUUAUUGGGCGUAAAGAGCGUGUAGGCGGUCCGGUAAGUCAGCUGUGAAAGUCAAGGGCUCAACCCUUGAAUGCCGGUUGAUACUGUCGGGCUAGAGUCCGGAAGAGGCGAGUGGAAUUCCCGGUGUAGCAGUGAAAUGCGCAGAUAUCGGGAGGAACACCAAUGGCGAAGGCAGCUCGCUGGGACGGUACUGACGCUGAGACGCGAAAGCGUGGGGAGCAAACAGG